rnacentral:rRNA from 1 species
CAGUAGCCGCGGUAAUACGAAGGGGGCUAGCGUUACUCGGAAUUACUGGGCGUAAAGGGCGCGUAGGCGGCACGAUUAGUCAGGCGUGAAAUUCCUGGGCUCAACCUGGGGACUGCGCUUGAUACGGUCGAGCUAGAGGAUGGAAGAGGGUUGUGGAAUUCCCAGUGUAGAGGUGAAAUUCGUAGAUAUUGGGAAGAACACCGGUGGCGAAGGCGGCAACCUGGUCCAUUACUGACGCUGAGGCGCGACAGCGUGGGGAGCAAACAGGAUUAGAUACCCCUGUAGUCCCUGUCUCUUAUAC